UCCAAGACCAUUUUUGAUUCCACAGGUGUCCGUGAGGGCUGGGAACAUUCCGUACCGCCAUAGUCAGGGCAGGAGACCGUAUGCCAGGUCCCGAUUUUCGUGAGAACCUUUUCGUACCCUAGGAUAAGGAACCCCCACAUUUACUUCCAACUACGCGAACAAACAAGGCACAAGGGAGGGUUAUCCAAGCAUUUACAGCUUCGACAAAGAACUCAAGUCUGACAUGACCACCAACACCACA